CCUACGGGUGGCAGCAGUGGGGAAUAUUGCACAAUGGGGGAAACCCUGAUGCAGCGACGCCGCGUGAGCGAUGAAGUAUUUCGGUAUGUAAAGCUCUAUCAGCAGGGAAGAAAAUGACGGUACCUGACUAAGAAGCCCCGGCUAACUACGUGCCAGCAGCCGCGGUAAUACGUAGGGGGCAAGCGUUAUCCGGAUUUACUGGGUGUAAAGGGAGCGUAGACGGUCCUGCAAGCCAGAUGUGAAAGCCCGGGGCUCAACCCCGGGACUGCAUUUGGAACUGUAAGGCUAGGGGGUCGGAGAGGCAGGCGGAAUUCCUAGUGUAGCGGUGAAAUGCGUAGAUAUUAGGAGGAACACCAGUGGCGAAGGCGGCUUGCUGGACGAUGACUGACGUGGAGGCUCGAAAGCGUGGGGAGCAAACAGGAUUAGAUACCCUGGUAGUC
rnacentral:rRNA from 1 species